ensembl:lncRNA
AUAUACAUUCACAAGUUUUCUCUUUUAACUUUCCCACCCACGUUUAGAUGCCAACAAAACAUUCCACAAACACUCCUUCACUGUGCCCAUAGGCACUCAUCCAGUCAGAGCCAUCAGUCGUUCCUGGCCACGCACCCUUCCUCCAACCAGGGUAAUUACCACACGGCCAUCACACAGCUUACUUGACUUGCUUUUUUCUUCUUUCUAGAGAUGUCCUUGGUUCUCAGUAUAGCUUUCUCAUGCUGUUUACCUUGCUCCCCAGCUGCUGCUCUGAAUAGUCUUUCUGUAUUCCCACAGGAUCAGGCCCAGUCAGCAUGGGUUCAUGAAAUGUAUUUCCUGCUUAACAAAUCUGAUGCCACCUUGUGACAAAAUGACCCACUUAGUGGAUGAGGGUAAGGCUGUUGAUGUGGUUUGCCUGGACUUCAGUAAAGCCUUUGACCCCCACAGCAUCCUUGUGGAGAAGCUGGCAGCCCAUAGUUUGGAUGGGAAUACACUCUGCUGGGUGAAACACUGGCUGGAUGGCCAGGCCCAAAGAGUUGUGGUCAAUGGAGUUAAAUCCAGGUGGUGGCCGGUCAUGAGUGGUGUCCCCCAGAGCUCAGUACUGGGGCCACUACUAUUUAACAACUUUAUCAGUGAUCUUGUUGAGGGGAUUGAGCGCACUCUCAGUAAGUUUGCAGAGAGCACCAAGUUGGGAGGGAGCGUUGAUCUGCCAGAGGGGAGAAAGGCACUACAGAGGGACCUGAAUAGACUGGGUUGAUGGGCCAAGGCAAACUGGUAUUAGACCAGAGAGAUUACUGCGUUACAAAGGAAAAAUGAAAUUAAGAGCUUACCCACAUCCUGGGCUUACAGAAGGGCUCCAAAAGAAGCAAUCUCCAGAUAGAAAUCCUUCCUCCCUGGGAGUCAGCCCUUAAAUGGGGUCUGGGAGAGGUGCAGCCUCUCCCCUUCUGGUCACUCAGGUGAAAUUGCAUUCACCUGUGCCCCUGCAGCUGACUCAGCGCUCGCCUCAGGUGGUCAAUCAGAGGUUCAGGCCAUGAUUCAACAAUUCCCAUACAGUAAGGCCAAGUGUCAGGUCCUGCAUUUUGGUCACAGCAACCCCAGGCAACCCUACAGACUUGGGGAGGAGUGGCUGGAAAGCUGCCUGAUGGAGAGGGACCUUGGUGUACUGAUGGGCAUUCGGCUGAAUAUGAGCCAGCAGUGUGCCCAGGUGGCCAAGAAGGCCGGUGUCAUCCUGGCUUGGAUCAGGAGUGGUGUGGUGAGCAGGACGAGGGAAGUCAUCCUGCCCCAUGUAUGUGGCAUUGGUGAGGCCUCACCUCGAGUACUGUGUUCAGUUUUGGGCAUCUCAGUCCAGAAAGAACAUGGAGGUGCUGGAGCAGGUCCAGAGAAGGGCAACAAGGCUUGUGAAGGGCUUGGAGAAUGUGUCCUAUGAGGAGAGACUGAAGGAACUGGGGCUGUUUAUUCUGGGGAGGAGGAAGCUGAGGGCAGACCUUAUUGCUCUCUGCCAAUAUCUGAAAGGUGAUUGCAGUGAGAGUGGGGUUGUUUACUUCUCAUUGGUGACAGGACAAGGGGAAAUAGCCUUAAGUUGCACCAGGGUAAGUUUCGGUUGGAUGUCAGGAAAUACUUCUUUACAGAAAGGGUUGUUAAGCACUGGAAUAGGCUUCCUGGGGAGGUGGUUGAGUCACCAUCCCUGGAUGGUUUAAACAGUUUAAAAUCUGUUUGGAUGUGGUGCUCAGGGACAUGAUUUAGCAGAGGGUUGUUAGGGUAGUUCAGUUAGAUUGUGGUUGGGCUCAAUGAUCUUUAGGUCUUUUCCAAGCCGAACAAUUCUAUGAUUGAUUAAGUACAAAAUGCCAUGGGCAGGAAAAUCCUGCUCUGAGGCCUCAUGCAGGGCAUGGAGUCCACGGGGCACUGUGGCUGUGGGUGCUGCACAUGCAGCUGUGAGGCUGGAUCCUCCCACGGUGGUGGGCUCCUCAGUGGGGACAGGCGCAGGCAGCUCGGCACCAUCUUUUUGGCAGCAUCCUCCACUCAUGUCAUGCUGCCUGAUGGUGCCUACACUGCCUUGUCUGUGCUGCUGCCCUGGUGCCGUGGGGCAACAGGCACAGCACUGGGGGGGGGUUGGAGCUGCAUGGAUGGUGGCUGGCACACCAGCCCCACCACUAUCACCCUCUACCUCAGGAGUUGCAGGGCCUGAAUGGAUUCCAGCAAGUGUCUGCACAGCUAACAGGUAGUGCCUGCUCUCCUGCUGCUGCCAGCCACCACACUGUCCACAGGUGUUUGUGGCCUUUGGUCUCCUGGCAUGGCAGCAGCUUCCCCUUCUUAGCUGGUUUGCUGCUGCUGGGCUGCUCAUGCCUGGAGGUCGCCCCUUUCUUGGAGGUGUCACUGGCUGGGUGGGUAAGCACAGCACUGGGGCUGAGUUGGGCCUGCAUGGAGGGCGGCUGGUGUACUGGCCCCACGGUCAUCACUCUCUGCCCCAGCGGAUGCAGGGCCUGGAUGGAUUCCAGCAAGUGUCUGCGCAGCUCACUGACAUUGCCCACUUGCCUGCUGCUGCUGGCUCCUGUGCUAGCUCCAGCUGGCUUUGUUUGUGCAGAUGUUUGAAGCCUUUGACCUCUCUGCAUGGCAGCAGCUUCCCUUUCUUGACUGGGAUGCUGCUAGUAGGCUGCUCGUGCCUGAAGGUCUACCCUUUGUAGGGGGUGCUGGCAGGCACAGGGUGCUUGGCCCACUUCAUGCUAUCCCUGUGUUUCUUGUCAGCCACUUGACAGAAAACAGAGCCUGGUAGCAGUGGCAGCUGGGUCAGAACCACUCGGGGUUGCCUUCACUGUGCCUCUUUGUUUGGCUGUGUGGUGCAGGGUGAGGGAGGUGUGGGGACAGCCAAAGGGGUUGGCAGGGGACUGAGCUGGGGUCUUGCUGGUGGCUCAACAAGGGGCAGCAGAAACGGCCAACGCUGCAUCUCAGGCUGGAGCUCAGGGGAUGGUGGAAGCCUCCAAAAGGGGUCAGUGGGGGUCCCGGUGGCAGCCUGUCCCCUCAUGCUGAGCUUCCCUGCUGUAACUGAGGAUGUCAGGGAGCUCAAUGUUGAAGCAGGGGGGGCAGGGCUGCUGGGGACCGGGGGUCCUCAGGCUCAGUGGCACUGAGCUCUCUGAUUGGCUCUUUCUCACUGCUGUCCAGUUCUGUUAGAAGUCAGUCCUGUGGAAGGUCACUGUCCAGCUUUUCCUCUUCUAGCUUUGCAAUGUCUUCAGUCCCAAAGCCUUUUCUGAUAGCAGGCAUUUCCUUGUUCUCCUUGAGCAUAUUUGGGGCAGAUCCCUCUUCUAAGAAAGCAAGAAAAUAACCCAAAGGAGUGAUGACGGCCUUCCCAUGCCCCUUUGAGUGGACAUCCACCCAGCAGCUCUGCAGCCCCCGUGCUCACUCUUGUUCAAGCUGAGAAAAACAUUGAUGUCCAUCCACAUUCUCUUCCAUCUCUGGGGCGGCUGUACCUGCCGUGUGGGCUCUUGCCAGAGUACCCUGGUGUUUGUCUCCUCCAUUUUCUGGACCUCCUCGCAGUCCACACAUCCACCAUCCUCCUUCAGGGCCCUCAUGCUUGCAGUUGCUCCCAUGUAAAUAUCUGUGUGCAGAUGCACAAAGCAUGGUGAACUCUUCUGUUACAGCCUGAGACAGGCUGACAUAUGCGAGGACAUUGCUGGGUCUGCCUCAUAUCUUCAUUUGCUGCAGGACUUAGGCUCCAUUGCUUUUGCUAAGUGCAGGUAUUGCCAGCAUGCAAAGCCAACUCAUUCCUGCUGCACCGAGCCUGUAGCAGGAUGCCCCAGGGUUGAGUAGUUGGGUCUCAGGCAUCCAGAAGCCCAAAUCAAACCUGGGUAUCCUACAGCUAUGUCUGAAAAACUAGGCGUUCGUUUUUAUUUUUGGACUAAUUCCCAUAUGGAAAACCAUUCAGUUACUAUUCUGCUAUCAACUAUAUUCUAACCUGUUUUUCACAGAUGGCUCGUUAUUCCUUAAAAAUAUUAAGAUAUCAGAAAUGUGGGCUGUUGCUGUAGCCUGACAGGAAUGGAAAAGCUUACAACACGUACUCCACUUAUUUCCUUUGUCCCAUAUUAUCCGUUUGGAACUGGAGAGAGAAUCUCAGGCAGGCUUAACACUUUCUUUUGAAGUACUUAGGUUCUGGAGAAUUGAACGUUCGGACAUAAAUGAAUUGUUCAUGCAUGCAUACAGGAAAAAAAUUACACGUCAAUGACAUCAAGAUUUUGAUGAUCCCAGUAUGUCCACCCAGACCUUCUCAAGGGCACAACGAGGGACAGUACAAAACUCCUAAUGACACAGAGACAGGAAAGGAUGGUGGCCAAGCCGGGCACAGCAUGUAAUUGCUAGUUUAGGAAGAAAGUCAUAGACAGGUGAGCACAGUAGCAGUUCUGUGCUCAGUGUUUCUCACCGGUGGGAAGCAUAGCAAUGUCUCAGGCUGGUUUGCUCGGGGCACUGCAGCCCACUGCUUUUCCUGCAUGGGAAGUAGAGGCAAAUGGGAGCCCAUUGGCCAGCAGUGCCCUCCCAGCAAUGGGGCUCAGGCUAGAAGAGACCAAGUCAAGCUCCAUGGUGAGCAGUGCAGGCCAAGACUGUGUGCAGCAUGCAGGGAAGCCCCUCAGUGCCCCCCACACAGCACAGCCCAUCCCCUGCCCUUUGGCAUCUGUGGACAACUUCCCCUCCCCAGGCCAUGGGCAGGAGCAUGAAAGCAAAGUGCUGUGGGAGCAGAAGGAGUCCCUCACCAGAAGGAAAGGAAGAGCCAAAGAAGAGAGGGGAUUAACUUAUUUGGGGGGCUCGCCAAGGACUCCCUCUCUAUAGCAUGUAUUUAUCAACCAAUCAUGACAUCAUCAUGUCUGCAUGGAGCAUGUACCAGUGCUGCUCCCAGCUGGCCCUGCAGAGCAGGGAGCCUGACUUUGUCUUGCUCCCUCACUUUCAGCUCCAUGCUUCACUCUGGACGGCUCCUCCCAGCAGGCAUCUGCACACUGCAAACAGCACAGGGACCUUGUUGGAGAACAGCAGGAGCUGGAAGAAGAGAAAGCCAAGAGUUGGGUUCCUCUGCCAUGCCACAACACACCCGGACAGAGCUCGGUGUGCCCGGGCCCAGGCAAGGGCUCCUUGCAGACAAAUGGGAGCUCAGGGCAUCAUGCUGUCAGUUCCCAAAGAAACUCACAGCCCUUGCCGAAGUCCUCCUUUCUGCCACCAGACUACAGCCUCAUCUGGAUGGAAGGAAAAUGGAUGUAGGAGAGCAGGUGCUCGCAAGCCUCUGGAAGCACAAAACAAGAAAGCUUUUCACAGCUGCAUCUCUGAGACACUUCCCACAAGACAGCCAUGCCAGCUGCGCAUGGACUUGCUGUUGCUGUCUGGCCUGGCUCCCCAUCCUCAUGGCCAGGCUUCCUAGGAGCAUCGCAGCCCUCUCCACUACCACCUGUUCCCAGCCCUCCCUUUCACAUGGCCCUGCUGAUCCCUCAGCAGUUCCUGAACCCACUGCUUCUUCAGGUGCUUAUUUGAGAAGGGGUGACAUGGGACACAUCAGUCCCUUUGCAGGAUCUCUGGCACUGGGAAUACGAAUUCAGAGCUGCAGUAACACGCUCCCACUUCUCUACAUCACAUCUACAUGGUAGUACGGUACCUCGCUGUGCAGCCGUUUCAGCCAAGCGAUAUUCUGGCAUCUUGUGGUUGGGCAGGAAACUGCCAAUAAAAAAGCCACAGUGGUUACAGGAAGGGGCAAAGAGCACAGGGCUGCCCAGGGCCUUGUGGAGCUCGCCUCCUGAGGUCUGGUUUUCUGGGAUCAGCCAGACAGGCCAAGCCACAGGCACCAUGGAAAAGCUGCCCUGGGCUCCCACUUCUUCCCAGAGCAUCCGAAGGUGUGCUGCUGGGCUGGGCCUUUGGUGCGACCAAAGGGGCUGCACAGGAGGUCUCCUGAACCUCUGUACAUUAAGUCCAGCCCAGGGUCCGGCCAGACAGGCCAAGGCUUUGACCUGAGAGCCAGAGAAUGAGAGGGAACCCUGAAACUGUGCCAAACUCAAAUGGAGGAAAGCAUCCAAAUCUGCUUAACACAGAGCUCCUGUAUUCCUCCUCUGCUCCUCAGCAAACAGCCCCAGCACUAUCGCACUGCCUGCCUUUGCCAUCACCUCCUCACUGCAGAGCAGCUGCAGUGAGAACAGCCCUGGCGAGAACUCAGCCCCACCUCUUGGGGGAAGUGAGAAAGAAGGAAACGCAUAGACAGUGGAAGGAGGUGUGCUGAAUUAGGGUGUCCUCAAGGUGUUUGUAAUAACUGUGUUGGCGGUUUUUUAAUUUUAAAUAUCUUUUUAUAAACCUAGAUGAUACCAAAAUGACCUUUAGCAGUUUAUGGUGAGGUCCGGUUAUCUUCGAAUCCAUAGCACUGGCAAUUGAAUUGGUGGAACAUCUGCCAGCCCACACGAAAACCUGGGUAUGUGCAGUUGAUGAUGUAUAUGUGAUAACACGUUUUCUACAAGUGCCUACACCAUUCUCCUUUUACAGAACUAUACUGCAUUUUGACAUCAAUGCCACAGCCUUAAAUUUAUGUGACAUGGGAACUGUAUCCGAAUAUUUAACCUCAGAGACUUAGGCUUUUCGAGUAGCAGAUGUCUCAUAGGUGGAAACGUGCUUUAGUUUUGUUAACUGUACUGAAUCAAAGGUGAAUAUGAAGAAAACUGUCAUGUAAUGAUACAAUGUAUAUAACCCAAGCUAAGGCAUAUUUAAUUCUACCACUGGGGUUCUUUUUGUUUUGUGGAACCACUGCCUACACUUAGGUGACUGCAAAUUCCACAGGUGGCCCCUGUGCAAUUAGUAGAAUUAUCAUUCAGUUCUGAUUUGAACACUGUCCCUUACAUAGCUGCAAAGGUCUCCAAGACAUACUCUUGGUGAUAGCUUAUUUUCUCAUGGGGAAUCAAUGGGGAAUGCUCAGCUGACACAAGAGCAGCAGAGGAUCUUUCGUUACCUUAUCAGGUGGGCAGGAGCACAGUGAAAGAGUGUGGAAUAAUUACUGGAGACGACUUACUGAAAUGUCCACCUCCUGAGAGAAUGACGGAAUUGUACGGAUUGGAUUGGACAUCUAGAGAUCUUCAGGUCCCUGAUAAAGUAGGUUCCCUACAGCAGGCUGCACCAGCAGGCAUCCAUGCAGGUCCUGAAUACCUCCAGAGAAGGAAAUUCCGCCACCUCUCUGGGCAGCCUGUUCCAUUCCUCAUCACCCUCAGGGCACAGGAGUUUUUACCUCAUGUUCAUACAGAACUGCCUGUGUUUCAGAAGGUGAAGCCCCCAGGGGGAAUGCACUGGAUAGUCUGUUCCAUGAUAGUUCCCUAAGCAACGUGACCUGCGACCUUAGCUGUCAGCAAACACCAGGGGAGUCUGGUAUGCUGACUUUGAGAAAACAUGGAGUGUGGAGCAGGGUGGAAUCUCAUGGCCAAAUUCCAUGAUCAUCCUGCAGGGAUGAGGACCCGAUGAAACUAUCUAAUUGUUCUGAGCCAGCCCUGAGGCACUAGUUUUCAGCCUUUCUGCCUCAAUAAUGCUGAGUAAACUUUACAAAAUGUAGCCAUAAACAAUAAGGAGAGUUGGCUGGGGAUGGGGCAGCCACUGUUUUGGGGACUGGGUGGGCACUGGUUGGUAGGAGGCGAGCGAUUGCUUGUGCAUCACUUGUUUUGUAAACGUGGAUUAUAUUAUUAACAACACUAUUAUUAUUUCCCUUUUUUCUUCUUUCUCUUAGUUUUUAUCUCAAUACACGAGUUCCCCUUUGUGUUGUUUUUCUUAUUCUCUCCCCCACCUUCCUCACCCAGCCUGGGCUCAGGCCAGGGACUCCCCCAUGCCCUCCAG